rnacentral:lncRNA from 1 species
AAUUUAGAGAGUCAUUUCACUAUUUUCUUUGUUUUGAGAGAGAGGUAGUAUGCUAGCUGUUUCGUUCAUUUUUUAAAAAAUAAAUUUAACUGAAAAUGUGAAUAAAUUAGGAUUCGAACUUAGGAUCUUAAAUACUAAUCAUCAAGCAGUUUGCCACUUGUAUUCGGGACGAUCAGUAGCAUCAUUUUACUAUCUAAUGAUCCUUGUAAUGAAAUAUACGGUAAAUUAUUGGGCAAUAAAAUAGUAAUAUUUUGUAUUACAGACUUUACAUUAUAG